rnacentral:rRNA from 1 species
UACGGGAGGCAGCAGUGGGGAAUAUUGCACAAUGGGCGCAAGCCUGAUGCAGCCAUGCCGCGUGUAUGAAGAAGGCCUUCGGGUUGUAAAGUACUUUCAGUCGUGAGGAAGGUGUUAAGGUUAAUAACCUUAGCAAUUGACGUUAGCGACAGAAGAAGCACCGGCUAACUCCGUGCCAGCAGCCGCGGUAAUACGGAGGGUGCGAGCGUUAAUCGGAAUUACUGGGCGUAAGGGCACGCAGGCGGUUAAUUAAGUUGGAUGUGAAAUCCCCGGGCUUAACCUGGGAAUGGCAUUCAAGACUGGUUAGCUAGAGUCUUGUAGAGGGGGUAGAAUUCCAUGUGUAGCGGUGAAAUGCGUAGAGAUGUGAGGAUACCGGUGGCGAAGGCGGCCCCUGGACAAAGACUGACGCUCAUGUGCGAAAGCGUGGGGAGCGAAACAGGAUUAGAUACC